CCUACGGGAGGCAGCAGUGGGGAAUAUUGCACAAUGGGGGAAACCCUGAUGCAGCAACGCCGCGUGAGUGAAGAAGUAUUUCGGGAUGUAAAGCUCUAUCAGCAGGGAAGAAGAAAGACGGUACCUGACUAAGUAGCUCCGGCUAACUACGUGCCAGCAGCCGCGGUAACACGUAGGGGGCAAGCGUUAUCCGAGUUUACGGGGUGUAAAGGGAGCGUAGACGGGUGUGCAAGUCUGAAGUGAAAGCCCGUGGCUUCACCGCGGAAGUGCUUUGGAAACUGUAUAGCUUGAGUACUGGAGAGGCAGGCGGAAUGCCUAGUGUAGCGGUGGAAUGCGUAGAUAUUAGGAGGAACACCAGUUGCGAAGGCGGCCUGCUGGACAGAAACUGACGUUGAGGCUCGAAAGCGUGGGGAGCAAACAGGAUUAGAUACCCCUGUAGUC
rnacentral:rRNA from 1 species